rnacentral:rRNA from 1 species
GACGGAGGAUGCAAGUGUUAUCCGGAAUCACUGGGCGUAAAGCGUCUGUAGGUGGUCAAAUAAGUCAACUGUUAAAUCUUGAGGCUCAACCUCAAAAUCGCAGUCGAAACUAUUAGACUAGAGUAUAGUAGGGGUAAAGGGAAUUUCCAGUGGAGCGGUGAAAUGCGCAGAUAUCAGGAAGAACACCCGUGGCGAAGGCGGCUCUCUGGAACGCAACUGACGCUGAGACGCGAAAGCGUGGGGAGCAAACAGA